GAAAAUGGGGAUUUUAUUGAGGAGGACCGAGAGGAAGAACCAAACAUUUGCCACUCACCUGCAUCAGAAAACAUCAGCUUGCCUUAUGAAACCUCACAGGCAAGGCCUGCUCCAAUUCCAAGAAAAAGGGAAACUGGGAGAGCUAAAGCAGGCCAGCCCACACCUGCACCACGUAGGAGUAGGAGAGAAAUGGCAGGGGUACACUCGAACCCAUUUAACCUACCCAGGUCAGCAUGUAACGCAGUGUCCUUCAGCCCAGAUGUACUCUCCCAUCUGCUAGCUGGUAUGGUUCUCUACACCAACAAAUUUAGGGGACAAAUGGUUGAUCAGGAAGUCAUCGAGGACGAUGACUUGUAGCAGGGGAGAAUGUAACCAAGUGAAUAAAUAAUCACUAUCAGUGUGACACAGCUUAUUCCUAAGAGCUUUCAGUUCAUGUAAGAUUUGUGUUGCCUUUAUUCUCUUUCUUACUGUAAUAUUGUGGUUACUGCAUUUGGGGUUUUUGGGGACGCUGCCUCUUUAAGAGCAGCGCCAUCUUAGAGCAUGCAUGCACGUAGACUCUGCAUUCUGUCGAGCGGGAGUCUGGAAAGUUAACAGACUGCAGACAUACAUGGUGGUUAAAACUCAAGAUUGCUGAAACGUGCAACGCCUGUCUGUUUAAAAGAGCCGACCACGCUGCGAGCGGAAGGCGCGGGUUGGCAGGGGAGAGAAUUUGCGGUGUCACAACUUGUGAGGGUGUGUGUUGGUGAGCAGGCCGCCCUCUGGAAAAGACAGGUCACUACUGUUGUCUAUACUAGCAACGUUUGCAUUUUUUUACUGUCCUGUAUAGUGUGCAAGUGCACCUGUCUCUUACUAAUAUUGAGAUCCUUAUUUUGUAUUUUUAUUGUUCAUUCCGACUGUUAAAAUUCACAACAAAACAAA